rnacentral:tRNA from 1 species
GCCUUCGUAGUGUAAUGGUCAGCACACUCAGCGCGUAACCGAGAGGUCCGUGGUUCGAGUCCCGUCGAGGGUC